GUCAACAGUCACACCACCCUGGAAGUACCUGAUCUCAACUGAGUUCGGAAACUAAGCACGGCUGGGCCCAGUUAGUGCUAGGAUAGGGGAAGAGAUGGAAGAGAAACAGUGGGAGAAAGAUGUUU
rnacentral:rRNA from 1 species